AUGGGGUCAAACUUUUUACUGCUGGUGAUGCUGGGACUCUUUGCUCAGGAAUCAAAGGCAGAUAUAGUUCUGACUCAGGAUCCAGCAGCUCAGUCUGUUCAGCUGGGAGACACUGUCUCUAUCAGCUGUACAGUCAGUCAGAGCGUUUUCGUUGGCAACAACCUCUACUGGUACCAGCAGAAACCUGGUCAGGCUCCUAAACUUCUGAUUUAUUUUGCCACAAGUCGCCAGUCUGGGAUUCCUGAUCGUUUCAGUGGGAGUGGAUCUGGGACUCAGUUCACACUGAAAAUCACUGGAGUCCAGGCUGAAGAUGCAGGAGAUUAUUACUGUCAGAGUUUUCACUACAUCAACAGUAAAGAUAUAUUCACACAGUGAUACAGAGCCGUACAAAAACCUCCCUCAGUCAGACUGCACAGAGACUGCACUGCUGCAGCUGGGACCUACUGCAGGUGCUGAGGGGGGAGCUACUCACCCGAGACAUUGAGGGGCUUUGCUUGAAAACAUUGA